GUUCCUUUUCCUUUUGGCGCUCAAGCGAGGGUAGGAUGUGGAGAUCGGUGAGGAGUCGGGCGUUUUAUUCUCCUCUCUUGAACUCCCAGGAUGUUCUGUACAUAUUUGGGUUUGUAGGCAUCCCAGUGACCGAAAUCACCCUUGCCACCCAGGAGCUGGGCAUCAGGUACAACUGGAGGAAGAACGAGCAAGCAGUUAGUGGACGCAGCCCUUUCUCUUUUUUAGUUUGGUAUCUAUCCAGAGGAAUUGGAGAAUAAUGUAAGACUUGCUGUGACUUUGCUAGAAGACAUAAAUGCUGUUACCAAACAGGAAUUAGCUUCCUGCUUAUGAAUUAUCAUACUGCAUUCUACCAUGCCCAAGAGGAACCACAUAUGACUGUUAUGUGGUCAGCAAAGGAGCACAUGCUAUGGGCAGUGGGUGCACUGUGCUUCAUGACUACCUUCUUCAUUGCAGGAAAGUGAACUCUUGGGGAAGAGGAAAAGAUUGCCUGGAAUUGCUGCCUAACAGCGAAAGAGAGUGAAGCACAGUGGCUUCCCUUUUCAAGCCUUUCUGCCCAGGAAGUGGACAAGCCAGUCAGGGAACGCACAGCAGAUCCAGGUUGCAUGGUCAUUCCUCCGCUUAGGGAGCCAGAAAGGCACACCUGGGAACUCCUGGGUCUCCAGCACUGCUCGCAGCAGGGCCAAGAUGGGCUGCGGGCCAGAGCAUGAAGCCCUGGAAUGACUGAAACUUAGUUUUCAUCCUGGCAACAUGGAGGCCAAAAUUAAAAUGAUGUUCAAUUA